rnacentral:rRNA from 1 species
GAUGAACGCUGGCGGCGUGCUUAAUACAUGCAAGUCGAGCGAACAGACGAGUACCUUUCUCCUGUGACGUUAGCGUCGGACACGUGAGUAACACAUGGAUGACAUCUCUCCCCGUCUUGUGGAACACCGCGUGAAAGUGUCGCUUAUACGAUAUUUUAUUUACCUGCUUCAUUCUAUAUUUGAAGAAGGUUCUCCUUUCACUUAUAGUUGUAUGGGCGGCGCUUUAGCUCGUUGGUAAGGUAAGGGCUUAGCAAGGCAACGAUGCGUAGCCGACCUGAGAGGGUGGGCGGCCAGACUGGAACUGAGACACGGUCCAGACUACUACGGGAGGCAGCAGUAGGGAAUCUUCCACAAUGGGCGAAAGCCUGACGGGGCAACGCCGCGUGAGUGAUGAAGUGCUUCGGAUCGUAAAACUCUGUUAUUAGGGAAGAAAAAAUGUGUAAGUACCUAUGCACGUCUUGACGGUACCUAAUCAGAAAGCCACGGCUAACUACGUG